rnacentral:rRNA from 1 species
UACGAAGGGGGCUAGCGUUGUUCGGAAUUACUGGGCGUAAAGCGCGCGCAGGCGGUCCUUCAAGUCAGAGGUGAAAGCCCAGAGCUCAACUCUGGAACGGCCUUUGAAACUAGAGGACUUGGGUACGGGAGAGGUGAGUGGAAUUCCGAGUGUAGAGGUGAAAUUCGUAGAUAUUCGGAAGAACACCAGUGGCGAAGGCGGCUCACUGGCCCGUCACCGACGCUCAGGCGCGACAGCGUGGGGAGCAAACAGG